GUGAUUGGAAAACAUAAAAUGCAGGUAUAGACUGGAAAAUAUGAUUCAAAAAAAUUUUAAAGACAUCUCUCAUAUCAUAUCAUAUCAUAUCAUAUCAUAUCAUAUCAUAUGUGGGCAAACUUAUUAAUUGCCUCUAACAUACUGGCAUAUAUGCGGCAGUUGUGACCAGUAUGUGAGAGGCAAUUAAUAUUCAGUCCCUUAAUAGGCCUAUUAACCACCUGCCACGCCCAGGACCUGAAAGGCUCACUAGUCCUAUGCCUGUUCGCCCGUCGAUGUGUUGGCAGUACGACGCGCUAAACUUGUGAGAGAAGAGAAAAUAUUUAUAAUAAAUAUAAAUAAAUAAAUGGUUUAUUCACAUAUCUUGGCAUUAAUACAAUGAAUUAUGAUAUGUUAAUCUCUAAUUCAAUAAAUUAUCUAAGAUAUUAAAAUCUAUAUAUAAUAUAUAACUAAAAUAUAUAUAUAUAUAUAAUAUACAGCUAUUUAAACUAUCAUUAAAGUUUGUUCCUUAACUCAAAGCACAUUGCUGCUGGAAUAAAACUAUAUAUAUUUCUACCGAUGGGAAUAUAUUGAAAUUUUCUAAUCUAAUUAAUAUCCCUUUAUUAAUCUCUAAUUCUCAUCUCUAAUUAAUUGACAUCUCAUUGAUUUUCCAGAUUUUCCAGGCUGAUUAUGAGAGCUGCCGUGCCGUGCCGUGCUGCUAAUAUAUGUGUGAUUGGAAAACAUAAAAUGCAGGUAUAGACUGGAAAAUAUGAUUCAAAAAAAUUUUAAAGACAUCUCUCAUAUCAUAUCAUAUCAUAUCAUAUCAUAUCAUAUCAUAUGUGGGCAAACUUAUUAAUUGACUCUCACAUACUGGCAUAUAUGCGGCAGUUGUGACCAGUAUGUGAGAGGCAAUUAAUAUUCAGUCCCUUAAUAGGCCUAUUAACCACCUGCCACGCCCAGGACCUGAAAGGCUCACUAGUCCUAUGCCUGUUCGCCCGUCGAUGUGUUGGCAGUACGACGAGCUAAACUUGUGAGAGAAGAGAGAAUAUUUAUAAUAAAUAUAAAUAAAUAAAUGGUUUAUUCACAUAUCUUGGCAUUAAUACAAUGAAUUAUGAUAUGUUAAUCUCUAAUUCAAUAAAUUAUCUAAGAUAUUAAAAUCUAUAUAUAAUAUAUAACUAAAAUAUAUAUAUAUAUAUAAUAUACAGCUAAUUAAACUAUCAUUAAAGUUUUUUCCUUAACUCAAAGCACAUUGCUGCUGGAAUAAAACUAUAUAUAUUUCUACCGAUGGGAAUAUAUUGAAAUUUUCUAAUCUAAUUAAUAUCCCUUUAUUAAUCUCUAAUUCUCAUCUCUAAUUAAUUGACAUCUCAUUGAUUUUCCAGGCUGAUUAUGAGAGCUGCCGUGCCGUGCCGUGCUGCUAAUAUAUGUGUGAUUGGAAAACAUAAAAUGCAGGUAUAGACUGGAAAAUAUGAUUCAAAAAAAUUUUAAAGACAUCUCUCAUAUCAUAUCAUAUCAUAUCAUAUCAUAUCAUAUCAUAUGUGGGCAAACUUAUUAAUUGCCUCUCACAUACUGGAAUAUAUGCGGCAGUUGUGACCAGUAUGUGAGAGGCAAUUAAUAUUCAGUCCCUUAAUAGGCCUAUUAACCACCUGCCACGCCCAGGACCUGAAAGGCUCACUAGUCCUAUGCCUGUUCGCCCGUCGGUGUGUUGGCAGUACGACGCGCUAAACUUGUGAGAGAAGAGAGAAUAUUUAUAAUAAAUAUAAAUAAAUAAAUGGUUUAUUCACAUAUCUUGGCAUUAAUACAAUGAAUUAUGAUAUGUUAAUCUCUAAUUCAAUAAAUUAUCUAAGAUAUUAAAAUCUAUAUAUAAUAUAUAACUAAAAUAUAUAUAUAUAUAUAUAAUAUACAGCUAAUUAAACUAUCAUUAAAGUUUGUUCCUUAACUCAAAGCACAUUGCUGCUGGAAUAAAACUAUAUAUAUUUCUACCGAUGGGAAUAUAUUGAAAUUUUCUAAUCUAAUUAAUAUCCCUUUAUUAAUCUCUAAUUCUCAUCUCUAAUUAAUUGACAUCUCAUUGAUUUUCCAGGCUGAUUAUGAGAGCUGCCGUGCCGUGCCGUGCUGCUAAUAUAUGUGUGAUUGGAAAACAUAAAAUGCAGGUAUAGACUGGAAAAUAUGAUUCAAAAAAAUUUUAAAGACAUCUCUCAUAUCAUAUCAUAUCAUAUCAUAUCAUAUCAUAUCAUAUCAUAUGUGGGCAAACUUAUUAAUUGCCUCUCACAUACUGGCAUAUAUGCGGCAGUUGUGACCAGUAUGUGAGAGGCAAUUAAUAUUCAGUCCCUUAAUAGGCCUAUUAACCACCUGCCACGCCCAGGACCUGAAAGGCUCACUAGUCCUAUGCCUGUUCGCCCGUCGAUGUGUUGGCAGUACGACGCGCUAAACUUGUGAGAGAAGAGAGAAUAUUU
rnacentral:lncRNA from 1 species